rnacentral:rRNA from 1 species
UGGUGAUCAUAGUGCUGAGGUCACACCUGUUCCCAUACCGAACACAGAAGUUAAGAUCAGUAACGCCGACGAUAGUACGCAAGUGCAAAAUAGGUAGUCGCCAGUUU